rnacentral:rRNA from 1 species
UACGUAGGCAGCAAGCGUUGUUCGGAGUUACUGGGCGUAAAGGGUGCGUAGGCGGCUUUUUAAGUUUGGUGUGAAAUCUCCCGGCUCAACUGGGGAGGGUGCGCCGAAUACUGAGAGGCUAGAGUGUGGGAGAGGAAAGUGGAAUUCCUGGUGUAGCGGUGAAAUGCGUAGAUAUCAGGAGGAACACCGGUGGUGUAAACGGCUUUCUGGACCAUAACUGACGCUGAUGCACGAAAGCGUGGGUAGCAAACAGG